GCCCCCGCUCCGGGGUGCCCGGGCCUGGCGAAAGCCGCGCCCAGACGCUGAGACAGUUGAAGGACUGAACCCGUGAACUUGAACCGGCUAAUACCGGCGUAAGGAGAGCGCAUGCCUCGCGG
rnacentral:ncRNA from 2 species